rnacentral:rRNA from 1 species
AUUGAACGCUGGCGGCAGGCCUAACACAUGCAAGUCGAGCGGAUGACGGGAGCUUGCUCCUUGAUUCAGCGGCGGACGGGUGAGUAAUGCCUAGGAAUCUGCCUGGUAGUGGGGGACAACGUUUCGAAAGGAACGCUAAUACCGCAUACGUCCUACGGGAGAAAGCAGGGGACCUUCGGGCCUUGCGCUAUCAGAUGAGCCUAGGUCGGAUUAGCUAGUUGGCGGGGUAAUGGCUCACCAAGGCGACGAUCCGUAACUGGUCUGAGAGGAUGAUCAGUCACACUGGAACAGAGACACGGUCCAGACUCCUACGGGAGUCAGCAGUGGGGAAUAUUGGACAAUGGGCGAAAGCCUGAUCCAGCCAUGCCGCGUGUGUGAAGAAGGUCUUCGGAUUGUAAAGCACUUUAAGUUGGGAGGAAGGGCAGUAAGUUAAUACCUUGCUGUUUUGACGUUACCGACAGAAUAAGCACCGGCUAACUCUGUGCCAGCCGCCGCAGUAA